GUCCGCGUGGGAAUCUGCCCUUGGGUUCGGAAUAACUUCUGGAAACGGAAGCUAAUACCGGAUGAUGACGUAAGUCCAAAGAUUUAUCGCCCAAGGAUGAGCCCGCGUAGAGAUUAGCUAGUUGGUGGGGUAAAGGCCCACCAAGGCGCACGAUCCUUAGCUGGUCUGAGAGGAUGAUCAGCCACACUGGGACUGAGACACGGCCCAGACUCCUACGGGAGGCAGCAGUAGGGAAUAUUGGACAAUGGGCGAAAGCCUGAUCCAGCAAUGCCGCGUGAGUGAUGAAGGCCUUAGGGUUGUAAAGCUCUUUUACCCGGGAUGAUAAUGACAGUACCGGGAGAAUAAGCUCCGGCUAACUCCGUGCCAGCAGCCGCGGUAAUACGGAGGGAGCUAGCGUUGUUCGGAAUUACUGGGCGUAAAGCGCACGUAGGCGGCUAUUCAAGUCAGAGGUGAAAGCCCGGGGCUCAACCCCGGAACUGCCUUUGAAACUAGNAUAGCUUGGAAUCCAGGAGANGUGAGUGGAAUUCCGAGUGUAGANGUGAAAUUCGUAGAUAUUCNGAAGAACACCAGUGGCGAAGGCNGCUCACUGNACUGGUAUUGACGCUGAGGUGCGAAAGCGUGGGGNACAAACAGGAUUAGAUACCCUGGUAGUCCCGCCGUAAACGAUGAUAACUAGCUGUCAGGGCACAUGGGGUUUUGGUGGCGCAGCUAACGCAUAANUUANCGCCUGGGGAGUAGGUCGCAANAUNAAANCCAAGNAUUGACGGGGGCCUNCCANCCGGGG
rnacentral:rRNA from 1 species